rnacentral:rRNA from 1 species
UCUUCGGAAUGAAGUUUUUGCGACUGAGUGGCGGACGGGUGAGUAACGCGUGGGUAACCUGCCUCAUACAGGGGGAUAACAGUUAGAAAUGACUGCUAAUACCGCAUAAGCGCACAGUGCUGCAUGGCACAGUGUGAAAAACUCCGGUGGUAUGAGAUGGACCCGCGUCUGAUUAGCUAGUUGGUGGGGUAACGGCCUACCAAGGCGACGAUCAGUAGCCGGCCUGAGAGGGUGAACGGCCACAUUGGGACUGAGACACGGCCCAAACUCCUACGGGAGGCAGCAGUGGGGAAUAUUGCACAAUGGGGGAAACCCUGAUGCAGCGACGCCGCGUGAGCGAAGAAGUAUUUCGGUAUGUAAAGCUCUAUCAGCAGGGAAGAAAAUGACGGUACCUGACUAAGAAGCACCGGCUAAAUACGUGCCAGCAGCCGCGGUAAUACGUAUGGUGCAAGCGUUAUCCGGAUUUACUGGGUGUAAAGGGAGCGUAGACGGUUGUGUAAGUCUGAUGUGAAAGCCCGGGGCUCAACCCCGGGACUGCAUUGGAAACUAUGUAACUAGAGUGUCGGAGAGGUAAGCGGAAUUCCUAGUGUAGCGGUGAAAUGCGUAGAUAUUAGGAGGAACA